rnacentral:rRNA from 1 species
AUUGAACGCUGGCGGCAGGCCUAACACAUGCAAGUCGGACGGUAGCACAGAGAGCUUGCUCUUGGGUGACGAGUGGCGGACGGGUGAGUAAUGUCUGGGGAUCUGCCCGAUAGAGGGGGAUAACCACUGGAAACGGUGGCUAAUACCGCAUAACGUCGCAAGACCAAAGAGGGGGACCUUCGGGCCUCUCACUAUCGGAUGAACCCAGAUGGGAUUAGCUAGUAGGCGGGGUAAUGGCCCACCUAGGCGACGAUCCCUAGCUGGUCUGAGAGGAUGACCAGCCACACUGGAACUGAGACACGGUCCAGACUCCUACGGGAGGCAGCAGUGGGGAAUAUUGCACAAUGGGCGCAAGCCUGAUGCAGCCAUGCCGCGUGUAUGAAGAAGGCCUUCGGGUUGUAAAGUACUUUCAGCGGGGAGGAAGGCGAUGUGGUUAAUAACCGCGUCGAUUGACGUUACCCGCAGAAGAAGCACCGGCUAACUCCGUGCCAGCAGCCGCGGUAA